AUUCUGGGCUGUGCGGGGCGAGGCAGCUGGGACUAUUAUUAGGCCUUGAGUAAACCUGAUGCUGCCCUGGCCAUGUUUGGUACCACAGGACUGCCGAUGGUAGACAGUGUGCUGGGUUUCUCCAUCGACCACGGAGAGCCGCCUGAGGGGAAAUGAAAGAGGGUCCAAAAAGGACAAGCUGUUCCUGGGACAGGAAUUAGAGACACCACAUAGUGAAAAAGUGCCAUAUGUGCAGAUUUCAGGUGAAUUUGCAGAAAAUACCAUAAAGUUGAACUGAAUUCAUGGCCUCUGAACUCAACAGCAAAAGAUAAGAGAAGCAUUUUCUCCUUCUUUUUCAAUGUUAAUAAAUCUAUAUUAUUAUAUUAUUUAUUUGCAAACAAUAUCCUAAAUCAGGUUAUUAUAAGUUUUAUUGGAUUUAAAUUAUAACAUUUUACAAUGGAGUUGUACAGUUGGGUUCUGGAAGUAAAAAACAUUUUCUCCAUAAGGAAAUUGAUUUUUUUAACGAUAACUUAUAAACUUUUAAAGACAGCCUUACUGUGAGCUACAAAGUUGUUAAUCCAUGGUAUUUGCUUCUGUUACAGCCAUCAGCCUGCAUUAUUUCAGCUUAUUUUUAAAAUAAUUGUGUUAAUAGCAGAAUUCCUGCUGAAAAACUACAUUACCCAUGAUGCUGCCCAGAAAAUUACACCAAUCAGAGAGACAAAAAAAGCCAAGAUCUCGUUAGCUCCACCUACUCCCAUGAAGCACUGCGAAUGUCGUAAUCGAGUCAACUAUCAAAACACUGAAAUGUUUGUAUAUAUAUACAUAUUUUGCAAUAACUUAAAAUAUAUAGUUUUUAUACAUAUAAUCAACAUUUGUAAAUGAGUAGAUUUAUAUUUCUCCAUCGUUUUUAAUUUGAUUAUGCUGUUUACAAUGUUUCAUGGGAUUGUAGUUCUAUCCCUCACUAAGUACAUUAAGUACACAGUCUUGUACCUUUGUCUUUUUGUCCAAUGUUCAAAAACUUUUUUGCUUUAAAUCAAAGUUUGUAAUGUUAUGAUUCACCUCGUAGCUGGUUGGCUUGGUUAAUGGCCAUUUUAAAAUCCCUAUGGGAAAAAUGAAUGAAACUUCCAGAACCAACGGCACUGAAAAAGGGGGCGGCCACUAACUAACAUUAACAAUUUGUUUGUAUUUAUUAAUUUUUGUUAACAUUAGUUAACAAAAUUACAACUGUUCAUUGUUAGUUUAUGUCAGCUCAGGUCCAUUAAAUAAUAUUAACAGAUUAACAACUUUUGGCUUACAAUUUUAAAGGGCACCUAUUAUGCCACUUUGAUGUAAGAUGUAAUAUAAGUCUCUGGUGUCCCCAGAAUGUGUCUAAAGUUUCAGCUCAAAAUACCCCACAAAUCAUUUAUCAUAGCUUGUCAAAUUUGCCCCUAAUUGGGUGUGAGCAAAAAUGCACCGUUUUUGUGUGUGUCCCUUUAAAUGCAAAUGAGCUGCUGCUCCCGCCGCUUUCCAGAAGAGGGCAGAGCUCUAACAGCUCGCGCUUCGGCUGUUUUGUCCAAACACAAUGUAAAAGUGGAUUUGCAUAAUAUGUGCCCUUUAAUAAAGUGUUAGUAAGUGUUGAAAUUAACUAGCCUAGAUUAAUAAAUGCUUUAGAAGUAUAUUUCAUUGUUCAUGAUAGUACAGGUAAUUAUUAUUAUUGUUUUUAUUAGAUUAGUUUAUGUUUAUAGUAAGUUUUUCGGAAUUUCUUUGUGACAGACAACCAUAAAGACAAGUUUCAUUCUCAAACUUGAAACCGUUAACCCAAAGACAGAUUUUUAGUCAUUUGCAAAUGUAAUCCUGCGUUAUCUUGUUUCAUGUUUCACACUGUGGCUUAGUAAUUCACACUGUACACCUUUGCUCCAUCAAUUUGCCAAAAUACGAUACACAUGAGAGGAUUUGCUAAACACAUGCAGCCGUCCAAACGCAGCUCAAAAAUAGCAUCGCAUUUAUUUGAAGUGUUCGUCUUGGACCCCGCCAGAACCAUUAAGACUAUCAGACUCCAAUUACAGGGCAAGUUUCCAUAACAAGUACACAUACAGGACAUAUUCACCCAGCUGACGCUUUUCUCCUCAAAGUUGCUUCACCAUGACAACGGGCAAGUAUCUUGUGCAAGCGCCAGCAUUUGAUUUCAUUACUUCUGAUUUCUCUAGUCAGUCAGUGUAAACUCAGGUCAGGUUAGCACUUAGCAAGCGGUUUCCUGAGUGAAAGCUCAUUAGCAGUGUGUUUUACCAAAGUUGAGAGGUAUGGCAGAGAGCAGCUGUUAGAAUCCUGCUGUGUUAUAAAUACCAGGAAAAGUGACACGCACCCACGUAAAACAUGGUGCUGGAGCUGUGCGGCACGUCAUUUUUCUUUGCUGUUCAUUGCGAUAGAGUAUAUCAUAUUUAUCGAUUGCUGUAAUAUGGUUUUAAGCGAGGGUGGUGUAGUGUGCUUGACUCAAUCUCAGUUCUCCGUCCCUUGUACUUCAUUACCAUACCUAAAUAUUAGAUUUUUUUUUUACUUUAAUCAAGUACUGGACACUAACUACUAACUUUUAUGCUAUAUUCUGAAGCCAUAAGAUAACUUUGUGUGAGAAACAGAGUCUCUGGUGUCCCCAGAAAGUGUCUGUGCAGUUUUAGCUCAAAAUACCCCACAAAUCAUUUAUUAUAGCUUGUGAAAUUUGCCCCAAUUUGGGUGUGAGCAAAAACACACCGUUUUCGUUUGUGUCCCUUUAAAUGCAAAUAAACUGCUGCUCACUUUCCAGAAGAGGGUGGAGCUCAUGCUUCGGAUUUUUAACAACAACAAAACUGGAGAGUCUCGCGCAGCCAAAAUGUCAGAAAUUGUUUAUGUGUUAAGCCUUACAUGUUCAAACCAGAGUCGGACUCAGGAAGAAGUUACAACUUUUAGAAUGCAACAGGACAUUUCUGAAUGGUUAGUUGAUGAAUUUAUGUAGUUGUUGUGGAGUUAACUUUAUUCAACUUUUCGAUUAGCAUGUUCCGUCAUUAUCAUCUAUAAAUUGUUGUACAGAUGUUCAUGAUGUGGGAACUGUAGUAGGAUACCCACAGAGCCAGAGAAUAUAUGCUGCAUUUGGUCUGGUAUCUGUGAAUACAGUCAGAGACAAUGGUAACUUUAGCCCCAUUAGCCAUACAGCAUGUUAACAAGCACAUUCAGAAAUGCGAUUUGGAAACAUUCACAAAAUACGAAGUGCGAUACUUACUUGUUCUGGUUAUUAAAUUUGAGCAUGAACAGUUGGUAUCCACCCAACUUUUAUGCAAAUCCAGCGGUGAACUUACCCUCAUUUGCGAAGCAGUCCGGCGUAAAAUGAUUUGCACAAACAUUUUAUUUAAUUUCUUCGGCACAUUUUUUCAUAAAUGAAAUUCACCCACGAUGUCCUCAGUGGCUCAGAUGCCGGGAGUCUAUGGAGACUCUUAUGUUCAUUGGUAGAUCCAAAAACAGAAUAUUUGUAAUGUUUAUGUGGCGCAGACAUUAUAUCAAUAGGUGCUAUAGCGAGGACAUAAACAUGGCGGACUAUGUGCGGCUCACUCAGGGCGGGAUCUAUGCUGUCACCAGUCAUGGGCGGGGCUUGCCCCAUACUGUGACGUCACAGUAUUAUAGCAUCAUUACUCCAGUCUUCAGUGUCACAUGGUCCUUCAGAAAUCAUUCUAAUAUGAUGAUUCAAUGAUCAAGAAACAUCUCUGAUUAUUAUCAAUAUUGAAAACAGUUGCGCUGGUUAAUAUUUUUGUGGAAAUGGUGAUACUUUUUGAGGAUUCUUUGAUAAAUAGAAAGUUCAAAAGAACCAUUUAUUUGCAUUUAUUAAAUUUAUUUAUUAAAUUUAUUAAAGCAUUUAAUCAAUAGAAAUCUGUUGUAACAUAAAUGUCUUCACUGUCACUUUUGAUCAGUUUAAUGCAUCCUUGAUGACUAAAGGUAAUUAAUUUCUCAAUUUUUCUUAAUCGUACCACAAGUGUUUGAAUGGUAUCAUUGUUUCCACAAAAAAGUUAAGCAUCAAAAACUGUUUUCAACACUGACAAUAAGUCAUUUAUUUGUAAUACCGUGCACAAUAACACCAGGAACAUGUAUUCAGAAAGUAAAUGGGGUUAAUUCAGAUGACUAUACUGAUGACUUCAUUUUGACUUUUGAACAUGCAAUGCAUGAUCACGUUUGUGCCUUUUGCCAAUAGCACACAUCAGUCUGGUGAACCCUUAUCAAAAGGUCUCUCUCUGUCACUGUGUCUUUCAGAUCCAUUGAAAUGCGAUGCAGAGAUAACUACACACUGCCUUGACAAUGCCUGCUUGUUUGCUUUGAGUGUUGGGCAUUUUGCCUACAGGACCUCUGAUCUGACCUCACCCUUCACACACACACAAGCACAUCACAACAAUGCCAAUGGCCCGUAUGCAAGUGGGCUGCCACAGAGGAAGGGGUGCCUUUGUCAACACAUUUCCAGAACAGACCUCAUUUUAGUAGGUUUUGUGUAAGAGCGUACAGAACAAACCGUAAUGGCCCAUUUAGCAUUGUGUGUUUAAUGUGUCCUGAAAUGUCCUUUUCUUUGUGUUUUAAUUAAGGAAAUUGUGCUAAACGUACUAGAUUUGCAUUCAUAAAUCUCAUCGCCAAGUGCUUGCCAUGGUGUUGCUAAGCAGUUGCAAGGGUUUUCUUGGUGGUUGACAGCUGUUUGCUUGCUAGAACAAGUCUGCAAGUCUCUAUGAUAUUCUGGUCUUUAGAUAUGGAUAUAUUUUCAGCCAUUUUAUUGUCCACCAGGCAAAAAUGCAGAGAGAGAAUAAGUUUCAUCUUUUCUCUCUUUCUCUCUCUUUUGAUCAGGGCUAUAAUCUUUAUAAGAAAUACAUAAAACAACCUCAUGCUGUAUACCUAAAGCAGAAUCACUAUUCAUUUUACAUAGUUCAUUGUAUUCAGAUUUUGAAUACAACUAAUAACCAAUGUCUUUGUGAAAAAAAGAGUUAAAUAGGCCUAACAGAAUAAUAGAUAUCCUAUUUAUAUUAUUCCUCAUAAAUAAUCAAUGCAUGUUGAAUAUGCAUAUUAAUUUGAUCUGUGCAAACAGGCUUCAAUCACUCUCCCAAUAAAACCAUAAAACCAAAACCAGAGAGUGUGAAACAAUAAAUAUAAAUCCAGAAAGUGAGAAACAUUAAAAAUAAAACCAGACAGUGAGAGAAAAUAAAACCACAGAGUGUGAAAAAUAAAAAUAAAACCAGAGAGUGAGAAGAAGAGAUGGGUAUUCCUUACAGAUCAUUAUCUGUUUUCUAUUACACGGUGAGGACAGUUACUUGCCACAAAUUACAACCUGUUUAUUAACCAGAAAAGAGGGCAAUUAAAUCCUAGACUAUGUCCUCAUUUCAUAUUUCAUUUGGGACAAUUUUUUACUUGAAAAAUCAGGUGGGUGUAAAAUCUUGUUUCAUAUAUAUAUAUAUAUAU